CACCACCCACGGUGCCGCAUGCCGGGGAGGCUGGGGAGGCUGGGGAGGCUGGCGUCACUCGAGUCCAGCCACCGUGGCCCUUCCAGCUUCCCUGGGUGCACAGUCAGCAUGUCCUGUG
rnacentral:precursor_RNA from 15 species